GCGGGCGUCGUACAACGGUAGUACGAGAGCUUCCAAGCUUUCGAUGUGGGUUCGAUUCCCACCGUCCGCU
rnacentral:tRNA from 1 species